GGGCCUGUGGCGCAGCUGGUAGCGCACCUCGUUCGCAACGAGGGGGUCAGGGGUUCGAGUCCCCUCAGGUCCA
rfam:Streptomyces natalensis ATCC 27448 Scaffold_14, whole genome shotgun sequence.